rnacentral:rRNA from 1 species
AUUGGUGACAGCGGAGGGAUCAUUACUGAGUUUACGCUCUAUAACCCUUUGUGAACAUACCUAUAACUGUUGCUUCGGCGGGUAGGGUCUCCGCGACCCUCCCGGCCUCCCGCCUCCGGGCGGGUCGGCGCCCGCCGGAGGAUAACCAAACUCUGAUUUAACGACGUUUCUUCUGAGUGGUACAAGCAAAUAAUCAAAACUUUUAACAACGGAUCUCUUGGUUCUGGCAUCGAUGAAGAACGCAGCGAAAUGCGAUAAGUAAUGUGAAUUGCAGAAUUCAGUGAAUCAUCGAAUCUUUGAACGCACAUUGCGCCCGCCAGCAUUCUGGCGGGCAUGCCUGUUCGAGCGUCAUUUCAACCCUCAAGCUCUGCUUGGUGUUGGGGCCCUACAGCUGAUGUAGGCCCUCAAAGGUAGUGGCGGACCCUCCCGGAGCCUCCUUUGCGUAGUAACUUUACGUCUCGCACUGGGAUCCGGAGGGACUCUUGCCGUAAAACCCCCCAAUUUUCCAAAGGUUGACCUCGGAUCAGGUAGGAAUACCCGCUGAACUUAAGCAUAUCAUAAAACCCGAGAGAAA